rnacentral:rRNA from 1 species
AACGAACGCUGGCGGCAUGCCUAACACAUGCAAGUCGAACGAGACCUUCGGGUCUAGUGGCGCACGGGUGCGUAACGCGUGGGAACCUGCCCUUAGGUUCGGAAUAACUCCCCGAAAGGGGUGCUAAUACCGGAUAAUGUCUUCGGACCAAAGAUUUAUCGCCUUUGGAUGGGCCCGCGUUGGAUUAGCUAGUUGGUAGGGUAAAAGCCUACCAAGGCGACGAUCCAUAGCUGGUCUGAGAGGAUGAUCAGCCACACUGGGACUGAGACACGGCCCAGACUCCUACGGGAGGCAGCAGUGGGGAAUAUUGGACAAUGGGCGAAAGCCUGAUCCAACAAUGCCGCGUGAGUGAUGAAGGCCUUAGGGUUGUAAAGCUCUUUUACCCGGGAUGAUAAUGACAGUACCGGGAGAAUAAGUUCCGGCUAACUCCGUG